rnacentral:rRNA from 1 species
AGCAGCCGCGGUAAUUCCAGCUCCAAUAGCGUAUAUUAAAGUUGUUGCAGUUAAAAAGCUCGUAGUUGAAUUUCGGGAUCAUCAGGUUGGUCGUGCCUCUGGUAUGUACUUGCCUCGAUGGUCCCUCCUUCUUGAAGAACCGUAAUGCCAUUAAUUUGGUGUUGCGGGGAAACAGGACUGUUACUUUGAAAAAAUUAGAGUGUUUAAAGCAGGCAAUCGCUUGAAUACAUUAGCAUGGAAUAAUGAAAUAGGACGUUCGAUCCUAUUUUGUUGGUUUCUAGGAUUGACGUAAUGAUUAAUAGGGAUAGUUGGGGGCAUUAGUAUUCAAUUGUCAGAGGUGAAAUUCUUGGAUUUAUUGAAGACUAACUACUGCGAAAGCAUUUGCCAAGGAUGUUUUCAUUAAUCAAGAACGAAAGUUAGGGGAUCGAAGACGAUCAGAUACCGUCGUAGUCUUAACCAUAAACUAUGC